CAUCAUCAGUGUUGGAUCCUUGUCCGGACUCCUCCUGAUUAUCCUCUUGUUGCCCUGUGUCAUGGAGAUCCUGCAGCUUUGGAUCAGCAGGACCAGCCCUUUCACCAGUCCGAACCGCCCAGCUCCACAUGAAGACCAGGUGGAGUCCCUGUUUUCCGGCUGCUACAGGACCUGGGGAGAGGCAAAGGAGGGUCCUAGGCAUAAGACAGCUUUGGCCACCAAGCCAGCCAUCAAGCUAUGGUGAGUAAAGGACUGCCGUCUGCUCUGCCCCUGCCUGACAUAAGAACAACAGUACCAACAAAAUGUCUUUGUUCCCAAUGCUGGCAGUUGUGGGUAGGAGGAAGCACACAUGUUUUCAAGGCAGAUUAUUAUACUCUACCAUUUUGCCUUUCCUGAUGGCAAAGGAGAUUAUUUGAGAAGUUGCAACUCUGACAAUCCAUGCACACUCGGUAAACAUUUCAUCCAAGCUGCAGAAAAACAUGAUCUAUUUCCAGAACCUCGACAGCUCAACAAUGACAAGAUCCACAUCAGCGAGCUGGGAUUACUCCUUCCUUUGGAUAUUCAGAAUUAAUGCCAGUUGGCACUUUUUGACCAACCCUUCCUUUUCAAGGCUCCAAACAAAGUCACCUUUACCUAUCAGCACGUGAUUUCAAGCAGGGCUGUCAUGUCAUUGAUUAGACCUCAGAUUCUCUUCCCAGCCUUUUCUGUUCAGAGAAUACAGCACAGUUACCCUAA